rnacentral:lncRNA from 1 species
UCUUCUUGAGUAUACUGAAGAACAUUUGGAUUAAUUUCAGACACGUAUUUUGGUUUAUAUAGUGUUUUUUAUCCAUGGUAACUUAUUUACUGUUUAAAAACAUAUUGAGAACAAACAGCAGCAGCAACCCUGAAUUGAGUGAAAGUCCUGAGAAGGGCUUUGCCCAAUCAGUGCAUGUGCAUGUUUACACUAAUCUCCUGUCUGAACCUAGGAACUGGCUGAAUGAGCUAGCAGAUGGCCUGUCUGGCUGCAUUAUAAAUGAUAAUUUAUUUUUAUUUGUUUUACUCAUUCAUUCAUUUUGAGACAGGGUCUCACUCUGUCAUCCAGGCUAGAGUAUGGUGACACAAUUAUGGCUCACUGCAGCCUUCAACUCUCAGGAGAAUUGCUUGAACCCGGGGAGUGGAGAUUACAGUGAGCCAAGAUUGUGCCACUGCACUCCAGCCUGGGCGACAAGAGUAAGACUUCAUUUCAAAACAGCAACAACAACAACAACAAACAACAAGAACAACAACAACAAAACCCAACAUUUUCUAAUACAAGGAAACUCACUAAGCUUUAUAAGGCCCCCAUCCCUCCAAGUAUUAUCCUUUCCGGCUGCCCCAACAUUAAUGACAGCAACUGGUACUAGCCAUCUGACAUACAAUCCCAGUACAUUUUUGGGCUCUGAUGUUUUCUAGGAAUUUUUUCUUUACAGACUUAUUGAAAUUAAGCUCUAUUCCCUGAAGACCUGGUUUUCAUAAACUGUAUAGUUUUGCAGUUGAGGGGAAAUGGUCUUAGGUCAGUCAAUCCACUGUUGACACAGAAAUGAAAUGAGGUAACGGUAGGAUUAUUGUUAAGAUUGAGAGAUGUAUGAAUCAUCCUAUGCUCUUUCCCAGCCCCCAGGUGACCAUAUAAUUAAAAUAUCCUUGAUAUUUCUAUGUAGUUUAAGUUUUUAAUUCUAGAACCCCUCAAUCUUUCUCUAUUCAACUUAAAUGAAAAGACAUUUAGUAUCCAGAAGACACUCAGCACUCAGAAGCAAAGGAAGAAAAAUGGAAACAUAAUGGUCAAUGCCCAUGUUCUACCCCAGGAUCAAAUGAGGCAUUAAUAUUGAGAGUUGUGAUUCUGAAUGAGUCUUAACCUCAUGCACAUCUUAGUUGUUCAAAAAUGUGUCAUGUCAGCAAGGUGGUAACAGUGAAGAUUUUCUACAAUCAAAAUAGUAUAGUUAUGUUCUGUUGUAUAAAAUAGAAAUAAAUGGACCACAUUGAUCAGAAAAAUCACCCUAGCAUAUUCCGACAGCUUAAUUUUUAAAAAGCUAUGUUAUAUUAACAAUUUAACCACAUAGAUCUGUCAGCUAGAAUACAUGUUGCAUAUUUAAUUGACAAUAAUUUUUUUUGCUCUCUCAGAGAGUUGUAGAUAGAUUUUGGGGUUAUCAAAU